rnacentral:rRNA from 1 species
AUACAGAGGGUGCGAGCGUUAAUCGGAAUUACUGGGCGUAAAGCGCGCGUAGGCGGCUGAUUAAGUCAGAUGUGAAAUCCCAGGGCUCAACCUUGGAACUGCAUCUGAUACUGGUCAGCUAGAGUCUAGGAGAGGGAAGUAGAAUUUCAGGUGUAGCGGUGAAAUGCAUAGAGAUCUGAAGGAAUACCAGUGGCGAAGGCGGCUUCCUGGCCUAAAACUGACGCUGAGGUGCGAAAGCGCGGGUAGCAAACGGGAUUAGAAACCCCAGUAGUCC